rnacentral:rRNA from 1 species
UAAUACGGAGGGUGCGAGCGUUGUCCGGAAUCACUGGGCGUAAAGGGCGCGUAGGCGGUCUGCUAAGCGUGCGGUGAAAGCCCGGGGCUCAACCCCGGGUCUGCCGUGCGAACUGGUGGACUAGAGCACUGUAGAGGCAGGUGGAAUUCCGGGUGUAGCGGUGGAAUGCGUAGAGAUCCGGAAGAACACCGGUGGCGAAGGCGGCCUGCUGGGCAGUAGCUGACGCUGAGGCGCGACAGCGUGGGGAGCAAACAGGAUUAGAUACCCUGGUAGUCCACGCCGUAAACGAUGGGGACUAGGUGCUUGGGGGAGCGACCCCUCGAGUGCCGGCGCUAACGCAUUAAGUCCCCCGCCUGGGGAGUACGGCCGCAAGGCUGAAACUCAAAUGAAUUGACGG